GACGAACGCUGGCGGCGUGCUUAACACAUGCAAGUCGAACGGAAAGGCCCUGCUUUUGUGGGGUGCUCGAGUGGCGAACGGGUGAGUAACACGUGAGUAACCUGCCCUUGACUGUGUGAUAACUUCAGGAAACUGGGGCUAAUACCGGAUAGGAGCUCCUGCUGCAUGGGGGGGGUUGGAAAGUUUCGGCGGUUGGGGAUGGACUCGCGGCUUAUCAGCUUGUUGGUGGGGUAGUGGCUUACCAAGGCUUUGACGGGUAGCCGGCCUGAGAGGGUGACCGGCCACAUUGGGACUACGAUACGGCGCAGACUCCUACGGGAGGCAGCAGUGGAGAAUAUUGCACAAUGGGCGGAAGCCUGAUGCAGCAACGCCGCGUGCGGGAUGACGGCCUUCGGGUUGUAAACCGCUUUAGCCUGUGACGAAGCGUGAGUGACGGUAAUGGGUAAAGAAGCACCGGCUAACUACGUG
rnacentral:rRNA from 1 species